GUUUCUCUCCUCUGUAGACAGCCUCCAGUGACAGAAUAACUCUGUUUCUCUCCUCUGUAGACAGCCUCCAGUGACAGAAUAACUCUGGUUCUCUCCUCUGUAGACAGCCUCCAGUGACAGAAUAACUCUGUUUCUCUCCUCUGUAGACAGCCUCCAGUGACAGAAUAACUCUGUUUCUCUCCUCUGUAGACAGCCUCCAGUGGCAGAAUAACUCUGUUUCUCUCCUCUGUAGACAGCCUCCAGUCUGCAUGAGAGUGUAUGAAUGUGUUUCUCUGCUAUGAUCCAUAGAGGAAUCUCUCACUCUCUUUUUCUCACUGAUCUCAUUUCCUCUCUCACACCCUCCCUCUCUCUCUACUGUGAUGUAGGAACAAAGAUGUGAUUGGUUAAGGAGGAAGAGGGAGGGGCUGUCAGACAUAACAUCUGGUAGGAGGGUUUGAACUGGUAGAGAUAGAGAGAGAGAGAUGCAGACUUGGACACACACCAUUAUAUCAGGACCUAUAGACACCUGGACCAACCUGGAGAGAACACAGCAUUAUAUCAGGACCUAUAGACACCUGGACCAACCUGGAGAGAACACAGCAUUAUAUCAGGACCUAUAGACACCUGGACCAACCUGGAGAGAACACAGUAUUAUAUCAGGACCUAUAGACACCUGGACCAACCUGGAGAGAACACACUAUUAUAUCAGGACCUAUAGACACCUGGACCAACCUGGAGAGAACACAGCAUUAUAUCAGGACCUAUAGACGCCUGGACCAACCUGGAGAGAACACAGUAUUAUAUCAGGACCUAUAGACACCUGGACCAACCUGGAGA
rnacentral:lncRNA from 1 species